AACGUACGCUGGCGGCACGCCUAACACAUGCAAGUCGAACGAAGUAGCAAUACUUAGUGGCAGACGGGUGAGUAACAUGUAGGUAUCUGCCCUUUGGCCUGGAAUAACACGAGGAAACUUGUGCUAAUACCGGAUAAGUCUUUACGGAGAAAGCUUUAUGCACCAUUGGAUGAGCCUGCACUUGAUUAGUUUGUUGGUGGGGUAAUGGCCUACCAAGACUGUGAUCAAUAGCUGAUUUGAGAGGAUGAUCAGCCACAUUGGGACUGAGACACGGCCCAAACUCCUACGGGAGGCAGCAGUGGGGAAUCUUGCACAAUGGAGGAAACUCUGAUGCAGCGAUGCCGCGUGAGUGAAGAAGGCCCUUGGGUUGUAAAGCUCUUUCGUCGGGGAAGAAAAUGACUGUACCCGAAUAAGAAGGUCCGGCUAACUUCGUGCCAGCAGCCGCGGUAAUACGAAGGGACCUAGCGUAGUUCGGAAUUACUGGGCUUAAAGAGUUCGUAGGUGGUUGAAAAAGUUAGUGGUGAAAUCCCAGAGCUUAACUCUGGAACUGCCAUUAAAACUUUUCAGCUAGAGUAUGAUAGAGGAAAGCAGAAUUUCUAGUGUAGAGGUGAAAUUCGUAGAUAUUAGAAAGAAUACCAAUUGCGAAGGCAGCUUUCUGGAUCAUUACUGACACUGAGGAACGAAAGCAUGGGUAGCGAAGAGGAUUAGAUACCCUCGUAGUCCAUGCCGUAAACGAUGUGUGUUAGACGUUGGAAAUUUAUUUUCAGUGUCGCAGGGAAACCGAUAAACACACCGCCUGGGGAGUACGACCGCAAGGUUAAAACUCAAAUGAAUUGACGGGGACCCGCACAAGUAGUGGAGCAUGUGGUUUAAUUCGAAGAUACGCGCAGAACCUUACCAACACUUGACAUGUUCGUCGCGACUCUAAGAGAUUAGAGUUUUCGGUUCGGCCGGACGAAACACAGGUGCUGCAUGGCUGUCGUCAGCUCGUGUCGUGAGAUGUUGGGUUAAGUCCCGCAACGAGCGCAACCCUCACUUUUAGUUGCCAUCAUUAAGUUGGGCACUCUGAGAGAACUGCCAGUGAUAAGCUGGAGGAAGGUGGGGAUGACGUCAAGUCCUCAUGGCCCUUACGUGUUGGGCUACACACGUGCUACAAUGGUAUCUACAACAGGAAGCAAGACUGCGAAGUUAAGCAAAUCCCUAAAAGAUACCUCAGUUCGGAUUGCACUCCGCAACUCGAGUGCAUGAAGCUGGAAUUACUAGUAAUCGUGGAUCAGCGUGCCACGGUGAAUGCGUUCCCGGGUCU
rnacentral:rRNA from 1 species